GAGUCAGAUUCAUUUCCACUGAGCCACGACAGGAACUCCCUAAAUAUAUUUGUUCAUAAACCAAUGGUUCUCCAGACUUUUCAGCAUACUGAGUGCUAAAGCAAACAAGAGAUUCUUCUCAAAAUAUGUUGGUGGCUUGAGAGAUGUCAUUACCAAGUGGUGAUCUAUACAGAAGAUGCUGAAAUGCCAAUUCUCAAGAAAUUUGAGGUAAUGUAUAUUGAGUGCCAUAUUUUCUAAGAGAUCAAAAUUCUUUGAAGCAAUAUAUCCUUUUUGUAGCCCUACAAUAAAUAGAAAAUAAAUAUAAUAAAUAUAAA